AUUAGACGAAUCAUCUGGAAAGAUGAAUCAAAGAAGGUAAUAAUCCUGUAGUCGAAAAUGUUGUCUCUCUUGAGUGGAUCCUGAGUACGACGGAGCACGUGAAAUUCCGUCGGAAUCUGGGAGGACCAUCUCCUAAGGCUAAAUACUCUCUAGUGACCGAUAGUGAACCAGUACCGUGAGGGAAAGGUGAAAAGCACCCCGGAAGGGGAGUGAAAUAGAACCUGAAACCGUGUGCUUACAAGUAGUCAGAGCCCGUUAAUGGGUGAUGGCGUGCCUUUUGUAGAAUGAACCGGCGAGUUACGAUUUGAUGCAAGGUUAAGCAGUAAAUGUGGAGCCGUAGCGAAAGCGAGUCUGAAUAGGGCGUUUAGUAUUUGGUCGUAGACCCGAAACCAGGUGAUCUACCCUUGGUCAGGUUGAAGUUCAGGUAACACUGAAUGGAGGACCGAACCGACUUACGUUGAAAAGUGAGCGGAUGAACUGAGGGUAGCGGAGAAAUUCCAAUCGAACCUGGAGAUAGCUGGUUCUCUCCGAAAUAGCUUUAGGGCUAGCCUCAAGUGAUGAUUAUUGGAGGUAGAGCACUGUUUGGACGAGGGGCCCCUCUCGGGUUACCGAAUUCAGACAAACUCCGAAUGCCAAUUAAUUUAACUUGGGAGUCAGAACAUGGGUGAUAAGGUCCGUGUUCGAAAGGGAAACAGCCCAGACCACCAGCUAAGGUCCCAAAAUAUAUGUUAAGUGGAAAAGGAUGUGGCGUUGCCCAGACAACUAGGAUGUUGGCUUAGAAGCAGCCAUCAUUUAAAGAGUGCGUAAUAGCUCACUAGUCGAGUGACACUGCGCCGAAAAUGUACCGGGGCUAAACAUAUUACCGAAGCUGUGGAUUGUCCUUUGGACAAUGGUAGGAGAGCGUUCUAAGGGCGUUGAAGCAUGAUCGUAAGGACAUGUGGAGCGCUUAGAAGUGAGAAUGCCGGUGUGAGUAGCGAAAGACGGGUGAGAAUCCCGUCCACCGAUUGACUAAGGUUUCCAGAGGAAGGCUCGUCCGCUCUGGGUUAGUCGGGUCCUAAGCUGAGGCCGACAGGCGUAGGCGAUGGAUAACAGGUUGAUAUUCCUGUACCACCUAUAAUCGUUUUAAUCGAUGGGGGGACGCAGUAGGAUAGGCGAAGCGUGCGAUUGGAUUGCACGUCUAAGCAGUAAGGCUGAGUAUUAGGCAAAUCCGGUACUCGUUAAGGCUGA
rnacentral:rRNA from 1 species